GGGUGAGUAAUGCCUAGGAAUCUGCCUGGUAGUGGGGGACAACGUUUCGAAAGGAACGCUAAUACCGCAUACGUCCUACGGGAGAAAGCAGGGGACCUUCGGGCCUUGCGCUAUCAGAUGAGCCUAGGUCGGAUUAGCUAGUUGGUGAGGUAAUGGCUCACCAAGGCGACGAUCCGUAACUGGUCUGAGAGGAUGAUCAGUCACACUGGAACUGAGACACGGUCCAGACUCCUACGGGAGGCAGCAGUGGGGAAUAUUGGACAAUGGGCGAAAGCCUGAUCCAGCCAUGCCGCGUGUGUGAAGAAGGUCUUCGGAUUGUAAAGCACUUUAAGUUGGGAGGAAGGGUUGUAGAUUAAUACUCUGCAAUUUUGACGUUACCGACAGAAUAAGCACCGGCUAACUCUGUGCCAGCAGCCGCGGUAAUACAGAGGGUGCAAGCGUUAAUCGGAAUUACUGGGCGUAAAGCGCGCGUAGGUGGUUCGUUAAGUUGGAUGUGAAAUCCCCGGGCUCAACCUGGGAACUGCAUUCAAAACUGUCGAGCUAGAGUAUGGUAGAGGGUGGUGGAAUUUCCUGUGUAGCGGUGAAAUGCGUAGAUAUAGGAAGGAACACCAGUGGCGAAGGCGACCACCUGGACUGAUACUGACACUGAGGUGCGAAAGCGUGGGGAGCAAACAGG
rnacentral:rRNA from 1 species